rnacentral:lncRNA from 1 species
AAAAAAGAAUAAGUACAAGUAAUCCUUGAUUUAUAAAGCCUCAAAUUAUGCAGUCUCAAAAUUUCAAAAUUUGUAAUUUAUACAUUUGUAAUGUUUUUUAUAGAUUUUAUUACUAUUAUACACAGUUUACAUGAAUUUCUAGAAGUUUUUGUAAAUACAACGAAAAGGGACCAUCUGAAUAUAUCUCCCUCUGCCAAUGAGAAUUGGAUGAAAACUUUCAGAAACUAACCAGCAACACAUAAAAGGAGGUGUAGUGUCCUUCAGUAAAAGAUGACAACAGGAUAACUAACAAAAUUAAAUUUAUUCACAUUAUUCUACAUAGUCAUUAGAUAGAGUGAACUAUCACGUGUCAUGUACACAAAGCACAAGAAAGACAGAAGUUCUCACCUAGCAACAAAGAUGAGUUACUUAUGCCAGAUGCCCUUUCAUUAUCCAUGGAAACUAUUUUUACCAUUCAGUAAAAAUAAUCUGAGUAAUCCAUGUCUUUAUAACAUAUAUAAGUCUGAAGAACUUGUUUUCUCAAAAACUAUAAAGUCAAAAAUAUCAGCACUAUAAGCAAGUAUGUCACAC